rnacentral:guide_RNA from 1 species
AAUAAUAACCACAUGGAGAUCACGGAUAAUGAUGGAGAUAAUUAAAGAAA